GACAGAGGGUGCAAACGUUUGUUCGGAAUUACUGGGCGUAAAGCGCGUGUAGGCGGUCGUGCAAGUCGGGUGUGAAAGCCCUCGGCUCAACCGGGGAAGUGCACUCGAAACUGCAUGACUAGAGUCUCGGAGAGGAUAGUGGAAUUCUCGGUGUAGAGGUGAAAUUCGUAGAUAUCGAGAGGAACACCGGUGGCGAAGGCGGUUCUCUGGGCCUUACCUGACGCUGAGGAGCGAAAAGCGUGGGGGAGCGAACAGG
rnacentral:rRNA from 1 species